UUUUCUCUGUGAAGAAGAUCUGACGGUAGCAGAGGAAUCAGCAUCGGCUAACUCCGUGCCAGCAGCCGCGGUAAGACGGAGGAUGCAAGCGUUAUCCGGAAUUAUUGGGCGUAAAGCGUCCGUAGGCGGUUAAUUAAGUCAGUUGUUAAAGACUGCAGCUCAACUGUGGGAGAGCAACUGAAACUGGUUAACUAGAGUAUGGUAGGGGUAGAGGGAAUUCCUAGUGUAGCGGUGAAAUGCGUAGAUAUUAGGAAGAACACCAGUGGCGAAGGCGCUCUACUGGGCCAAGACUGACGCUGAUGGACGAAAGCUAGGGGAGCGAAAGGGAUUAGAUACCCCUGUAGUCCUAGCUGUAAACGAUGGAUACUAGGUGUUGUGCGUAUCGACC
rnacentral:rRNA from 1 species